UACAGAGGGGGCAAGCGUUGUUCGGAAUUACUGGGCGUAAAGGGUGCGUAGGCGGCCGCCUAAGUCAGACGUGAAAUCCCUCGGCUCAACCGGGGAACUGCGUCUGAUACUGGAAGGCUUGAAUCCGGGAGAGGGAUGUGGAAUUCCAGGUGUAGCGGUGAAAUGCGUAGAUAUCUGGAGGAACACCGGUGGCGAAGGCGACAUCCUGGACCGGUAUUGACGCUGAGGCGCGAAAGCCAGGGGAGCAAACGGG
rnacentral:rRNA from 1 species